AUGUUGCAGCCGGCCCUUUUGCAACCUAUACAGAUGCCAGUUGACACCAGAAUCGGUGGUAGAGUGGGCAUUGGUGCAGGCUGUGCUGAGAGGGUAUUGGCUGGGGUUUGAUUUCCAGUCUGCGGGAUAGUGCCUGUUGGUUGAAGUGGCUGUUGAAUUAAAACAGGGAAUAAUGUCAAACUGGGUACUGCCCUCCCAACGUUAGGUGGCGCAACGGUAGAGUUGCUGCCUUACGAGAGACCCGGGGUCGAUCCUGACUAUGGGUGCUUGUCAGUACGGAGUUCGUACCCUCUCUGUGUGACCUCAAGGCGUUUCUCCGGGUGCUCCGGUUUCCUCCCACACUCUAAAGACGUACAGGUUUGUAGGCUAAUUGGCUUGGUAUCAUUGUAAAUUGUCCCUGGAGUGCUUGAUAGCGUUAGUGUGCGGGGAAUCGCUGGACAGCACACACUCGGUGGGCCGAAGGGCCUAUUUUCUGCGCUGUAUUUCUAAACUAAAAAUGAUCGCGGAAGGAGAUGUAUAUUUACAACAGAAUCUAGAUCAAUUUACAACAAUGUCUAGAUCUAGAUCAAAAGAAUGGAAAAUGGAAUUUAACUCUUACAAGGUGUGGCACUUUGGAAUGUCAAAUCAGGGCAGGACUUGCACAACAAAUGGUAGCGCCCUGGAGGGUGUUAUGAAACAGAGAUCUCUAGUACAGGUGCAGGGUUCUUUGAAAGAAGUAGUUCAGGUGGACAGUGUAGUGAAGAAGACAUUUGCCGUGUUUGCCUUCGUUGGGAAGGGUAUUUAGUACAAAAGUUGGGACAUCAUUACACAGCUGUACAAGUCAUUGGUGAGACCACACUUGGAGUAGUGUAUGCAGUUCUUGCCAUCUACCUAGAGGAAGGAUGUUAUCAUGUUGGAAAGGGUGCCUAAAAAGAUUCACCAGGAUGUUGCAGAACUGCAAGAUACUGCCCGACCUGAUGAGCAUUUCCAGCAUUUUCCGGGUUAUUUUUUUUCUCGGAUUUACACCAUCUAUGGUAUUUUGUUUUUGGACCACAGAUAAAGCAGCAAGGGCUGUAGAACCCAGAGAGGGGAGUGGAGUUCUUAAACAAAGGUUCUUAUGGAGGAUGAGGAGAGAUUGGGCCUACAGUGACUGGAGUUUAGAAGAGUGAAAGGAGAUCAAAUAGAAACCUAUAACACACUUAUGGGACCAGACACACCAGCUGCAGGGAGGAUGUUCCUGGUGUUAUGCAGAGUCCAGGAAUCACAGUCUCAGGACUCGGAAUCUCCCCUUUGACAACCGAAAUUCGGAGAAAUGUCUUGAUUCAGAGUGGUGACCCUGUAGGCCACAGAGAAUAGGGGCACUAAAUCAAUAGGUGCAGAAGGACUUUUAGACUUUAGAGAUACAGUAUGGAAACAGGCCCUUCGGCCCAUUGAGUCCAUUCUGACCAGCGAUCGUCCCGUACACUAACUAUCCGACAAACGAAGGAAAAUUUACAAUUUACAGAAGGCCAAUUAACCUACAAACCUGGACGUCUUUGGAAAGUGGGAGGAAACUGGAGCAGCCGGAAUAAACCCAUGCGGUCACCGAGAGAACGUGCAAACUCCGUACAGACAACACCCAUUGAGAGGAUCAACCCCAGAUCUGUAAAGUUGUGAGGCAGCAACUCUACCGCUGUGCCACUGUGCUUCCCUGUAUUUCUUAACAUUAAAAGGAUCAAAAGAGGA